rnacentral:rRNA from 1 species
CCUACGGGAGGCAGCAGUAGGGAAUAUUCCACAAUGGGCGAAAGCCUGAUGCAGCAACGCCGCGUGGAUGAAGAUGGUCUUCGGAUCGUAAACCCCUGUUGUUCGAGAAGAAAGUGCGUCAGGGUAGCUCUUCACGUAUCGACGGUAUCUAACCAGAAAGCUACGGCUAACUACGCGCCAGCAGCCGCGGUAAGACGGAGGGGGCAAGCGUUAUCCGUAUUUAUUGGGCGGAAAGGGAACGCAGGCGGUCGUUUAAGUCGGAUGUGAAAGCCUUCGGUUGAACGGGAGUAGUGCAGUGGAUACUGGGAGACUUGAGUGCGGAAGAGGAGGGUGGAA